rnacentral:rRNA from 1 species
GACGACGACGCUGGCGGCGUGGAUUAGGCAUGCAAGUCGAACGGUAUCAUCCUUUCGGGGGUGAGAGAGUGGCGAACUGGUGAAGUAACACGUAGGUUAUCUACCCUCAAGACGGGGACAACCCAGGGAAACUUGGGCUAAUACCGGAUGUGAGCAACUUUUAGUUGUUUGAAAGGUGGCGUAAGCUGUCGCUUGGGGAUGAGCCUGCGUCCUAUUAGUUAGUUGGUGAGGUAACGGCUCACCUAGGCAAUGAUAGGUAGGCGGCCUUAACGGGUGGUCGCCCACACUGGGAUUGAGAUACGGCCCAGACUCCUACGGGAGGCAGCAGUCGAGAAUAGUCUACAAUGGUCGGAAGACUGAUAGUGCGACGCCGCGUGAACGAUGAAUCCCUUCGGGGUGUAAAGUUCUUUUAUAUGUGAGCAGUGCUUCUUAUAUUAACAGUAUGGGGAGAGAGAUAUUAGCAUAUGAAUAAGCAACGGCUAACUCCGUG